UACGGAGGGUGCGAGCGUUGUCCGGAAUCAUUGGGCGUAAAGAGUUCGUAGGUGGUACGUUAAGUCAGGUGUUAAAGGCAGAGGCUCAACUUCUGUAAGGCACUUGAUACUGGCGAACUAGAAUGCGGUAGAGGUAAAGGGAAUUCCUGGUGUAGCGGUGAAAUGCGUAGAUAUCAGGAGGAACAUCGGUGGCGUAAGCGCUUUACUGGGCCGUAAUUGACACUGAGGAACGAAAGCCGGGGUAGCAAAUGGGAUUAGAUACCCGGGUAGU
rnacentral:rRNA from 1 species